rnacentral:rRNA from 1 species
GAGUUUCUGAUCAUGGCUCAGGACGAACGCUGGCGGCGUGCUUAACACAUGCAAGUCGAACGAUGAAGCCUAGCUUGCUAGGUGGAUUAGUGGCGAACGGGUGAGUAAUACGUGAGUCGACCUACCUUUGACUCUGGGAUAAGCCUGGGAAACUGGGUCUAAUACCGGAUACGACCAAUCUCCGCAUGGGGUGUUGGUGGAAAGCGUUAUGGAGUGGUUUUAGAUGGGCUCACGGCCUAUCAGCUUGUUGGUGAGGUAAUGGCUUACCAAGGCGACGACGGGUAGCCGGCCUGAGAGGGUGACCGGCCACACUGGGACUGAGACACGGCCCAGACUCCUACGGGAGGCAGCAGUGGGGAAUAUUGCACAAUGGGCGCAAGCCUGAUGCAGCGACGCCGCGUGAGGGAUGACGGCCUUCGGGUUGUAAACCUCUGUUAGCAUCGAAGAAGCGAAAGUGACGGUAGGUGCAGAGAAAGCGCCGGCUAACUACGUGCCAGCAGCCGCGGUAAUACGUAGGGCGCGAGCGUUGUCCGGAAUUAUUGGGCGUAAAGAGCUUGUAGGCGGUUGGUCGCGUCUGCUGUGAAAGGCUGGGGCUUAACCCUGGUUUUGCAGUGGGUACGGGCUAACUAGAGUGCAGUAGGGGAGACUGGAAUUCCUGGUGUAGCGGUGGAAUGCGCAGAUAUCAGGAGGAACACCGAUGGCGAAGGCAGGUCUCUGGGCUGUAACUGACGCUGAGAAGCGAAAGCAUGGGGAGCGAACAGGAUUAGAUACCCUGGUAGUCCAUGCCGUAAACGUUGGGCACUAGGUGUGGGGGACAUUCCACGUUUUCCGCGCCGUAGCUAACGCAUUAAGUGCCCCGCCUGGGGAGUACGGCCGCAAGGCUAAAACUCAAAGAAAUUGACGGGGGCCCGCACAAGCGGCGGAGCAUGCGGAUUAAUUCGAUGCAACGCGAAGAACCUUACCAAGGCUUGACAUAUACUGGACUGCGUCAGAGAUGGCGUUUCCCUUCGGGGCUGGUAUACAGGUGGUGCAUGGUUGUCGUCAGCUCGUGUCGUGAGAUGUUGGGUUAAGUCCCGCAACGAGCGCAACCCUCGUUCUAUGUUGCCAGCACGUGAUGGUGGGGACUCAUAGGAGACUGCCGGGGUCAAACUCGGAGGAAGGUGGGGAUGACGUCAAAUCAUCAUGCCCCUUAUGUCUUGGGCUUCACGCAUGCUACAAUGGCCGGUACAGAGGGUUGCGAUACUGUGAGGUGGAGCUAAUCCCUAAAAAGCCGGUCUCAGUUUCGGAUUGGGGUCUGCAAACUCGACCCCUUGAAGUCGGAGUCGCUAGUAAUCGCAGAUCAGCAAACGCUGCGGUAAAUACGUUCCCGGGCCUUGUACCCACCGCCC